rnacentral:rRNA from 1 species
UACCAGCAGCCCGAGUGGUGGGGACGUUUAUUGGGCCUAAAGCAUCCGUAGCCGGUUCUACAAGUCUUCCGUUAAAUCCACCUGCUUAACAGAUGGGCUGCGGAAGAUACUAUAGAGCUAGGAGGCGGGAGAGGCAAGCGGUACUCGAUGGGUAGGGGUAAAAUCCGUUGAUCCAUUGAAGACCACCAGUGGCGAAGGCGGCUUGCCAGAACGCGCUCGACGGUGAGGGAUGAAAGCUGGGGGAGCAAACCGG